GUCUAAGGGUUCUGUUUCUUAAUAUUUUUUUCUACUAGGGUGCUGUUACAUAUUUUUUUUGCUUUUGGAUCCAAUCCAAUACAGUAUCUGUCUGUUGCAUCUAAUACAGUAUCUGUCUGUUGCAUCUCCUGUUUUUACCAGAAUACCUGUAUGUAUAUUGGUAGCAGUAGCAGAUGUCAUCUAAAAGACUUAUGGAAUACAUCAAAUAGAGUUCCAAUGGAAUUAAUUUUGAAAUCUGUAAAUCUAGUAGGAAAGUGAGAAUUUGUGUGUUAUGCUUCAGGAACAU
rnacentral:misc_RNA from 1 species